GUAUCACUGGGACAAACUAUACUGGAUGAUAUUAGUAAGUAUUUUCCUACUCCUGAAGUGGGUGUGGUUCCUGAGGCUAUUAAAGAUCAUGAUGUAGUUCCACAAGCAAGUACUGCUGAUGAAACCAAUACAAUACAAUCUGGUAUG